rnacentral:rRNA from 1 species
GACGAACGCUGGCGGCGUGCCUAAUACAUGCAAGUAGAACGCACAGUUUAUACCGUAGCUUGCUACACCAUAGACUGUGAGUUGCGAACGGGUGAGUAACGCGUAGGUAACCUGCCUGGUAGCGGGGGAUAACUAUUGGAAACGAUAGCUAAUACCGCAUAAUAUUGAUUAUUGCAUGAUAAUUGAUUGAAAGAUGCUAUUGCAUCACUACCAGAUGGACCUGCGUUGUAUUAGCUAGUAGGUGAGGUAACGGCUCACCUAGGCGACGAUACAUAGCCGACCUGAGAGGGUGAUCGACCACACUGGGACUGAGACACGGCCCAGACUCCUACGGGAGGCAGCAGUAGGGAAUCUUCGGCAAUGGACGAAAGUCUGACCGAGCAACGCCGCGUGAGUGAAGAAGGUUGUCGGAUCGUAAAGCUCUGUUGUAAGAGAAGAACGGGUGUGAGAGUGGAAAGUUCACACUGUGACGGUAUCUUACCAGAAAGGGACGGCUAACUACGUG